GGCGAACGCUGGCGGCGUGCCUAAUACAUGCAAGUUGAGCGCUGAAGGUUGGUACUUGUACCAACUGGAUGAGCAGCGAACGGGUGAGUAACGCGUGGGGAAUCUGCCUUUGAGCGGGGGACAACAUUUGGAAACGAAUGCUAAUACCGCAUAAAAACUUUAAACACAAGUUUUAAGUUUGAAAGAUGCAAUUGCAUCACUCAAAGAUGAUCCCGCGUUGUAUUAGCUAGUUGGUGAGGUAAAGGCUCACCAAGGCGAUGACACAUAGCCGACCUGAGAGGGUGAUCGGCCACAUUGGGACGGAGACACGGCCCAAACUCCUACGGGAGGCAGCAGUAGGGAAUCUUCGGCAAUGGACGAAAGUCUGACCGAGCAACGCCGCGUGAGUGAAGAAGGUUUUCGGAUCGUAAAACUCUGUUGGUAGAGAAGAACGUUGGUGAGAGUGGAAAGCUCAUCAAGUGACGGUAACUACCCAGAAAGGGACGGCUAACUACGUG
rnacentral:rRNA from 1 species